rnacentral:rRNA from 1 species
UACGGGGGGAGCAAGCGUUGUUCGGAUUUACUGGGCGUAAAGGGCGCGUAGGCGGCCACCGCAAGUCGGUUGUGAAAUCUCUGGGCUUAACCCAGAAAGGUCAACCGAUACUGCGGGGCUAGAGUGCAGAAGGGGCAACUGGAAUUCUCGGUGUAGCGGUGAAAUGCGUAGAUAUCGAGAGGAACACCUGCGGCGAAGGCGACUUCCUGGCCUGUUCUUGACGCUGAGGCGCGAAAGCUAGGGUAGCAAACGGG